GGAUGGAUGGCCGAGUGGUUAUGGCGUGUGACUCAAGCUUAGCAUAAUAGCUUCCUUCUCCUCAGAGUUGGUGUAUUCUCAUAGGGAAACCUGCGGGGGUUCGAAUCCCCCUCCAUUCA